CUUCAGAAGGUAUAAAUACCGAGGCGUUGCGCUUCCCCGGCCUUUUCGGGGAAGACUGUUGAACGUCGUGUGAAGCUCUCGAUAAUCAGAUUCAAGAUAGAAACCUUACUGUAAUGGUUGUACGUUUACCUAUUUCUCUGCAAGCUAACCGCCUGUAGGGAUUUCAACUGGGCUAAAUUCUCAAGAAAAAUGACCAACGUGGAUACCCCGGGAGGUCACUCUCCCCGGGCUCUGUCCUGGUGGCGUAGAGGAGCAUAGGGCUCUGCCCCAUGAUGUACAGUCCCUUUCCACAACGUUGGAGAUGAAGCUGGGCCUUGAGUCUGCGCCUGCAUAUUCCUACAGCUUCUCAGAGUCCUGUGGACAAUGACUGAGGAGACAAACCAUGCAGGAAACAGCUCUCUGCAGCAAGCUGUCUGGAUCCAGAGUGAGUGGAAGAUUGACAUUAGUCAGUUUUGCUGUACAGUUGGAUUAAGCUCUUACCUGCCUUGUUUUGCAGCAUUCGCUUGGGAUUCCUAAUGCCUUGAUUUGAGGAGAGAAGAUGAACCUCACCUAACUUUGAAGUUAAUAUUUAAUGCUUUGAGGUCCCUUACUUGCAGGGAGAUGUGGUAAAGUGAGUACCCUGCAGUUUGGGGAGAUAAACCUGCAGUUUGAAAAUGUUAAGAUUACACAGAAUAUUUAAUCCUGGGACUAUCUUAAAAAGCAGCAGAGGAAUAGUAUGUUGCCCAGAUGCCCAUUGAAAUUAGAAGGAAUUAUAUGUGACACGUGUAGGGGGGGCCUAGAGAUCCUCUCAGGUUUUCUAUGAUGUGAAAACCAGUCAACAGUGGGUUUUCUGACAAGUGGAAGUAUGAGGACCUAUAUAUUUUAAUAAAGAGAUGCAUGUCGGUUUCUACUGUGCUCAUGAAUUAUAAUAAAAAUGACUAUAUACAUA